AGAGUUUGAUCCUGGCUCAGGACGAACGCUGGCGGCGUGCUUAAUACAUGCAAGUCGAACGCUCUCGACCUUCGGGUCACAUGAGAGAGUGGCGAACGGGUGCGUAACACGUGAGAAACCUGCCCCAAAGACGGGAAUAGCCCGAGGAAACUCGGAUUAAUACCCGAUACCUCCACAAUGUCGCAUGGCAUUGUGAAGAAAGUUCAGGCGCUUUGGGAGGGUCUCGCGGCCUAUCAGCUUGUUGGUGAGGUAACGGCUCACCAAGGCAUCGACGGGUAGCUGGUCUGAGAGGACGAUCAGCCACACUGGGACUGAGACACGGCCCAGACUCCUACGGGAGGCAGCAGUAGGGAAUCUUGCGCAAUGGGCGAAAGCCUGACGCAGCAACGCCGCGUGGGGGAUGAAUGCCUUCGGGUUGUAAACCCCUUUCAGCAGGGACGAAAAUGACGGUACCUGCAGAAGAAGCUCCGGCCAACUACGUGCCAGCAGCCGCGGUAAUACGUAGGGAGCGAGCGUUGUCCGGAAUUAUUGGGCGUAAAGAGCUCGUAGGCGGUUCAGUAAGUCGGGUGUGAAAACUCAAGGCUCAACCUUGAGACGCCACUCGAUACUGCUGUGACUUGAGUCCGGUAGAGGAGUGUGGAAUUCCUGGUGUANCGGUGAAAU
rnacentral:rRNA from 1 species